UCUGGAAUAAGAACAGGCUCACCAAACAUCUGGAAUAAGAACAGGCUCACCAAACAUCUGGAAUAAGAGCAGCUUUAUGAAACAUCUGGAAUAAGAGCAGGCUCACCAAACAUCUGGAAUAAGAACAGCUUUAUGAAACAUCUGGAAUAAGAACAGGCGCACCAAACAUCUGGAAUAAGAGCAGCUUUAUGAAACAUCUGGAAUAAGAGCAGGCCCACCAAACAUCUGGAAUAAGAAAGGGCUCACCAAACAUCUGGAAUAAGAACAGCUUUAUGAAACAUCUGGAAUAAGAGCAGGUUCACCAAACAUCUGGAAUAAGAGCAGGCCCACCAAACAUCUGGAAUAAGAGCAGGCUCACCAAACAUCUGGAAUAAGAACAGGCCCACCAAACAUCUGGAAUAAGAACAGCUUUAUGAAACAUCUGGAAUAAGAACAGGCUCACCAAACAUCUGGAAUAAGAACAGCUUUAUGAAACAUCUGGAAUAAGAGCAGGCCCACCAAACAUCUGGAAUAAGAGCAGGCUCACCAAACAUCUGGAAUAAGAACAGCUUUAUGAAACAUCUGGAAUAAGAGCAGGCCCACCAAACAUCUGGAAUAAGAACAGGCGCACCAAACAUCUGGAAUAAGAGCAGGCCCACCAAACAUCUGGAAUAAGAACAGGCCCACCAAACAUCUGGAAUAAGAACAGGCCCACCAAACAUCUGGAAUAAGAACAGGCCCACCAAACAUCUGGAAUAAGAACAGGCCCACCAAACAUCUGGAAUAAGAACAGGCCCACCAAACAUCUGGAAUAAGAACAGGCUCACCAAACAUCUGGAAUAAGAACAGCUUUAUGAAACAUCUGGAAUAAGAGCAGGCUCACCAAACAUCUGGAAUAAGAACAGGCGCACCAAACAUCUGGAAUAAGAACAGGCUCACCAAACAUCUGGAAUAAGAACAGCUUUAUGAAACAUCUGGAAUAAGAGCAGGCUCACCAAACAUCUGGAAUAAGAACAGCUUUAUGAAACAUCUGGAAUAAGAGCAGGCUCACCAAACAUCUGGAAUAAGAACAGGCUCACCAAACAUCUGGAAUAAGAACAGCUUUAUGAAACAUCUGGAAUAAGAGCAGGCUCACCAAACAUCUGGAAUAAGAACAG